rnacentral:lncRNA from 1 species
UAACCAAGUCUGACUUAGAAAUAAUUCUUUCUCAGUUUCUAAGAACUGGCAAACCGUAAAAAUAAACAUUAUAUAUUCUCUGUAUUAACUUCAGUUUUGAACUGAAACAACGACAAGUAUUUAGAAACGGAAAAAAAUAGCAAUAAAAUAAAGAAAACAGCCCUUAAAAUUCCUGGUUCCCGUCAUUCGGUCUUGUAUCGGACAGAGCGCAGAAAUUCCAUACACGACACAUGAACCAUAGAUAAAACCUCAAAGAUGGAACCUUUUUAAGAAAGAUAGAACUCAAAAGAGCACCAACCUGAUAACAUGGAUCCGGGUUCCAUGUGAUUGUGCCCA